rnacentral:rRNA from 1 species
GGAUUACCCACUGAGUUUAAGCAUAUCAUUAAGUAGAGGAAAAAUAACUUACUAAGAUUCCCCUAGUAACGGUGAGCAAACCAAAAAAAGCCCAGCUUGAGAAUCAAGCACCCUCAACAUCGGAAUUGUUGUAUAGAGAAUCAUCUUUAGUGGCAGAUUAGAACCAAGUCCCCUAGAAAGGGGUGCCAGAGAGGGUGAGAGCCUUGUUAUGCCUAGCCCUAUUACACUAUGAGCCACCAUCUGCAAGUUAGGUUAUUAGGGAAUGCAGCCCCAAUCAGGUAGUAAAUUUUAUCCAAGGUUAAAUAUGAGCAAGAGAUUAAUAGUGAACAAGUACCAUAAAGGAAAGAUGAAAAAGACUUUGAAAAUAAAGUCAAAUAGUGCUUGAAAUUGUUAGGAGAAAAGCAAAUAGGGGCUAGUGAUGUGGCUCGAUCAAAUGUGGAAUGGUGAGAGCCGAUCUAUCGAUUGGUUCGAGCUAAGGACCAAUGCGAGUCAUAGAGGUACCCCAAGCUCAAGCAUUCAAUAUGCUAGGGGAGACAUCAUUGCCAUGAUCUUGAAAUGUACCAUUCACUAUUUUAGCAUGCCUCGACACCUUCUUGCUCUUUACAUCAGCCUACGAGCUCCCUAUCUUGAAACACGGACCAAUGAGUUUGACAUGUAUGAAGUCAACGAGCUAAGAAACCUGUAAGGUGCAAGGAAGUUGAUUAGCAGGAUCCCUCACAAGUGCAAUGCCAACCAACCUUGAUCUUUUGAGAAAGGUUUGAGUGCAAGCAUGCUUGUCGAGACCUAAAUGAUGUUGAACUAUGAUUGAGUAGGGUGAAGCUAGAGGAAACUUUGGUGGAGGCUUGUAGUGAUACUAACAUGCAAAUUGUUUGUUUGACUUGGGCGUAAGAGUGAAAGACUAAUCAAAGCAUUUAGUAGCUAGUUCCCUCCAAAGUUUCCCUUAGGAUAGCUAAAGAUCUUAAAGAGUUCUAUCAGGUAAAGCCAUUGAUUAGAGGCAUUAGGGGCACAAUGCCCUUAACUUAUUUACAAAUUUUAAAUAGGUAGGAUGGCACGACUUCUUCAUUGAGCUAUGCCAUAGAAUCAAAAGCCCCAAGUAGGCCAUUUUUGGUAAGCAAAAUUGGUGAUGCAAGAUGAACCGAAAGCUAGGUUAUGGUGCCCUACUACAUGCUAAACUAAAACCUACAAAGGGUGUUGGUCGAUUAAGAUAGCAUGAUGAUGGUCAUGAAGUUGAAAUCCACUAAGGGGUGUGUAAUAACUCACCUGCCAAAUCAAUUAACCUUAAAAAUGGAUGGUGCUCAAGUGUGAGAACCACACCCAGUCGUCAGGGUAAGGGCCAAGCCUCGAUGAGUAGGAGAGCACAACAAUCGCCAUAAAACCUCAGGUACGAGCUUGGGCAAAGUAAUCAUUGGCAAAUAUUCAAAUAAGAACUUUGAAGGCUAAAAAGGGGAAAGUUUCCAUAUGAAUGGCACUUGCACAUGUGUUAGUCAAUCCUAAGAUAUAAAGGAAGCCCAUCCCACAGUGCAUCUAGCUUGAGCUUCAAAAAGGAAUUGGUUUAAAAUUCCUAAACCAAGAUGUAAUGGCUGACAAUAACAUUAAAGAGUCUAGAGACAUUGGUGAGGGCCUCGAGAAGAGUUAUAUUUUCUGUUUAACAACCUACCUACUCUAGAAAUUACUCAAUUAGAGGUGGGGUCAAGCGGUCAGAAGAGCACCACAUGUUGCAUGAUGUUAGGUACAGCCCUUAUAGCCCUUGAAAAUCCAAAAGACUGAGUGUCAUUUACAUUCGUUCAUACUCAUAACUACAUUAGUUCUCCAAGGUGAAUAGCCUAUGGUUGAUGGAAUAAUGUAGGCAAGAGAAGUUGGCGAAAAGGAUCUGUAACCUCAAGAAAAGGAUUGGCUUUGAGGGCUACACACGGGGGUCUUAGUCUUAAACCCAUCAGCUAUUGGUGCAGUGCUUGAGCUACUUUCACAGUAAGAGUGGGUCACCGUGUGUUGACUAGAGGGCAAACUAGGAAUAGCUCCCAUGGGGGCCUUUCCCAAGCAAUGAACAGUCGAGUCAAAACUAGUACAGAUAAGGGGAAUCUAACUAUUUAAUUAAAACAAAGCAUUGCAAAGGUCCUUAUGGAUACUCAUGCAAUGUGAUUUCUAUCCAGUGCCUUAAAUGUUAAAGUGAAGAAAUUCAACCAAGAGCGGGUAAAUGGUGGGAGUAACUAUGACUCUCUUAAGGUAGCCAAAUGCCUUAUCAUCUAAUUAGUGAUGCGCAUGAAUGGAUUAAUAAGAUUCCCAUUAUCCCUAUCUACUUUCCAGUGAAACCAUAGCCAAGGGAAUGGGCUUGGCAGAAUCAAUGAGGAAAGAAGACCCUAUUGAGCUUGACUCUAGUUUGACUUUGUGAAAUAACUUGAGAGGCGUAGAAUAAGUGGGAGCCCUCAAGCAAAAUUGAAACAUCAUAACUUUUAACAUUAUUUUACUUAUUCCAUAAAUCAGAGGUAGGGCACGACCCUUUUUUUUGGACCUAAAGUCAACUUGGUCAAUCAAUCCGAGUGAAAGACAUUGUUAGGUGGAGAGUUUGGCUAGGGUAGUACAUCUAUUAAAAGAUAAUAUAGGUGUCCUAAAAUGAGCUCAACAAUAAUAGAAAUUUCAUGUGAAACAAAAGGGUAAAAGAUCAUUUGAUUUUGAUUUCCAGUAUGAAUACAAACCAUAAAGACAUGGCGUAUUAAUCUUUAAACCUUUAAAAAUUGAAGCUAAAGGUGUUAGAAAAGCUACCACAAGGAUAACUAGCUAGUGGUAGCCAAGUGCUCAUACCGACAUUGCUUUUUGAUCAUUCGAUGUCGACUCUUUCUAUCAUUGUGAAAUAAAAUUCAUCAAGUGUUGGAUUGUUCACCCACCAAUAAGGAACCUAAGCUAGGUUUAGACCAUCAUGAGAUAGGUUAGUUUUACCCUACUGAUGGUAACAUCAUAAUAGUAAUUCAACCUAGUAUGAAAAAAACUGUUGAUUCACACAAUUGGUCAUCAUGCUUGGUUGAAAAGCUAGUGGCACGAAGCUAUCAUGCCUUGGAUUAUGACUAAAUGCCUCUAAGUUAGAAUUUAGGCUAAAAGUGAUGCACACACUGUCGCCCAAUUGCCAACCCAUAAUGAAGGCCCAUGGCCCUUAAGGGCAUGUGUCGUAGGUGCAGCCCCCAGAGUGGACAAGCUGCUUAGGCCUCUUUGAGCUCAAUUGCCACUGAACGGCUGGUAGAAUCCUUUGUAGAUGACUUAAAUAUGUGAUAGAGUAUUGUAAGUGGUAGAGUGGCAUUGCUACCAUGAUCCAUUGAGAUUUA